GGGAAGAGUUCCCUUGGACCGGUUCACGUUCUUGCUCGUUGUUUGGAUAAACCAGGAUAAACCAGGAGCAAGAACGUGAACCGGUCCAAGGGAACUCUUCC
rnacentral:pre_miRNA from 1 species